rnacentral:rRNA from 1 species
UACGUAGGGUGCGAGCGUUAAUCGGAAUUACUGGGCGUAAAGUGUGCGCAGGCGGCAAAGCGAGUCGAGUGUGAAAGCCCCGGGCUUAACUUGGGAAUUGCGCUCGAAACUACUUUGCUGGAGUGUGGCAGAGGAAGGUGGAAUUCCACGUGUAGCGGUGAAAUGCGUAGAGAUCCGGAGGAACACCAAAGGCGAAGGCAGUGUCCUGGGGAGUACCUGACGCUCAGGUGCGAAAGCCAGGGGAGCGAACGGG